UGCGAUGAUGAUGAGAGUAAAUAAUCUCGUUAAUCUGAUCUUUAUGGUGUGGAUAAACUUUCUCUUCCAUUCAACUGCUCUCUGAGC